rnacentral:rRNA from 1 species
UGGGGAAUAUUGCACAAUGGGCGAAAGCCUGAUGCAGCAACGCCGCGUGAGUGAUGAAGGCCUUCGGGUUGUAAAGCUCUGUCUUUUGGGACGAUAAUGACGGUACCAAAGGAGGAAGCCACGGCUAACUACGUGCCAGCAGCCGCGGUAAUACGUAGGUGGCAAGCGUUGUCCGGAUUUACUGGGCGUAAAGGAUGCGUAGGCGGAUUUUUAAGUGAGAUGUGAAAACCCUAAGCUUAACUUGGGGACUGCAUUUCAUACUGGAAAUCUAGAGUGCGGGAGAGGAGAAUGGAAUUCCUAGUGUAGCGGUGAAAUGCGUAGAGAUUAGGAAGAACACCAGUGGCGAAGGCGAUUCUCUGGACCGUAACUGACGCUGAGGCAUGAAAGCGUGGGUAGCAAACAGGAUUAGAUACCCUGGUAGUCCACGCCGUAAACGAUGAGUACUAGGUGUAGGAGGUAUCGACCCC